rnacentral:tRNA from 1 species
CAUUCGGCUGGCUGACGUUGCUGGUUUCGUUAAUCGAAACGGUCAGGCUGCCGUGCGACACCGCCGCCGCAUGU